CGUGCACUUCUUGCCAUCCAUGACUACUUUUCCAGAUUACGUGCUCUUAGUUCUCUUUGGCUUGCAAGACCACGAGAGUGAACUAUGUGGUGUAUAUUUGUGGGAAAAUCUGAGGCAUAUUCCAGAUCCAGCAAUCAUACAUGGUUUCUAGUGUUUUUAUAUUUUUUUUCCCCUACAUUUCUCAAUUCCCAUCAUGUAGUUUCAGAUGUGUAUCACGGAACUAAUCUUACAGUCAGAAUUUUACUACUUCAGAAACAUAUAUGUCAAUGUUAAUUAUUCAUAUCCUCAUCAAAAAAAAAAAUAUAAAAACACUAGAAACCA
rnacentral:misc_RNA from 1 species